rnacentral:SRP_RNA from 1 species
GUAGAGUGGUGACUCACACCUGUAAUCCCAGCUACUGAGGAGGCUGAGGCUAGCCAGUGUCUUGAGCUCAGGAGUUCUAAGCUGCAAUGGUUGAUGCCAAUCUGGUAUCUGCACUAAGUAUGACAUCAGUAUGGUGAGACCCUGAAAUUGAUUGGGCUACCAAGUUGCCUAAGGAGAGGCAAACUGAUCCAAGUUGAAAAAUGAACAGGUUAAAGCCCCUGUAUAAUUCAUUUGUGGGACCAGGCCUGUGAUUCGCUCCAUCACUUCCAACCUGGGCCAGAUAAAGAGAUCCAGUUUUU